rnacentral:rRNA from 1 species
UACGGAGGGUGCGAGCGUUGUCCGGAACCACUGGGCGUAAAGGGCGCGUAGGCGGCCUGAUAAGUAGGGGGUGAAAUCCUGCGGCUUAACCGCAGGGCUGCCUUCUAAACUGUCAGGCUGGAGCACAGUAGAGGCAGGUGGAAUUCCCGGUGUAGCGGUGGAAUGCGUAGAGAUCGGGAAGAACAUCAGUGGCGAAGGCGGCCUGCUGGGCUGUUGCUGACGCUGAGGCGCGACAGCGUGGGGAGCAAACAGG